rnacentral:lncRNA from 1 species
CUUUUCUUCAGCCUUCAAUCUCCAUAUUAUUCAUUUUCAUUUACACAGUCAAAAAUAAAUACAUUAUAUAGAUAAAUAUAGGAUUAAACUAUCCAAUCAUAUAUAACAAAAAUUAAAAUUUUAUAUGAAUAAUAAUUUUUUACUUUAAAAAUAUUCUGUAUAUUUUCUCAAGCAUACAAUUAAUAGCAAGGUGGGCAACGGCAGGCAUAUGCUGUUACUUGGUAACUUGGAGGGCUUCUGGUUUGGCCGCUUAGGGUGAGAGACAGAAAAAGAGAAAGAGAGAAAUAUAUUGAAAAUUUAGAGUUCUGUGAAAGAAAAAAAGAAAGAAAGGAAAAAUUUAUAAAUUUAGUGAAAUUUUGCUCUUUUAUUUGUCUAUUGAGUUUGUUUUUAUGGGCCAACAACAUUGGCCCAAUUUUAACUAAACUCAGAUUAUUCACUCAACCUAUAUAUAAUUAAAAUAUAUUAUAUUUAUAUAUUUUUUAAUAUAUAUAUAUAUAUAUAUAUAUA